UACAGAGGUGGCAAGCGUUGUUCGGAAUUACUGGGCGUAAAGGGCGCGUAGGCGGUUUCGUAAGUCCUGUGUGAAAUCCCCCGGCUCAACUGGGGAACUGCACAGGAAACUGCGAGGCUUGAGUUCGGGAGAGGGAAGCGGAAUUCCAGGUGUAGCGGUGAAAUGCGUAGAUAUCUGGAGGAACACCGGUGGCGAAGGCGGCAUCCUGGACCGGCAUUGACGCUGAGGCGCGAAAGCCAGGGGAGCAAACGGG
rnacentral:rRNA from 1 species